UCUACAUAUCAAUAAGCGGAGGAAAAGAACCAACAGGGAUUGCCCUAGUAACGGCGAGUGAAGCGGCAAAAGCUCAGAUUUGAAAUCUGUCGUCAUUUUGGCGGCCGAGUUGUAGUCUGUAGAGGUGUAUUCGAGUGUGGCUUUGGCUUAAGUUCCUUGGAACAGGGCGUCAUAGAGGGUGAGAACCCCGUUAACGGCCUUUGUCUUAUGCUCAUGUGAAUCUCCUUCAACGAGUCGAGUUGUUUGGGAAUGCAGCUCUAAAUGGGUGGUAAAUUCCAUCUAAAGCUAAAUACUGGCAAGAGACCGAUAGCGCACAAGUAGAGUGAUCGAAAGAUGAAAAGAACUCUGAACAGAGAGUUAAAUAGUACGUGAAAUUGUUGAAAGGGAAGCACUUCCGACCAGACGCACUUGCAGCCGAUCAAUCUUCAUUCUUGAGGGUGCACUCGGUUGUCUGUGGGUCAGCAUCAGUUAUGGCGGUGGGAAAAAGACUAAGGGAAUGUGGCUCCUCUCGGGGAGUGUUAUAGCCUUUGGUGCAAUGCUGCCUGCUGUGACUGAGGACCGCGCUUCGGUGAGGAUGCUGGCAUAAUGGUCGUAAGUGACCCGUCUUGAAACACGGACCAAGGAGUCUAACAUCUAUGCGAGUGUUUGGGUGUUCAAACCCUUACGCGGAAUGAAAGUAAAUGGAGGUGGGAACCGUAAGGUGCACCAUCGACCGAUCCUGAUGUUUUCGGAUGGAUUUGAGUAGGAGCAUAGCUGUUGGGACCCGAAAGAUGGUGAACUAUGCCUGAAUAGGGUGAAGCCAGAGGAAACUCUGGUGGAGGCUCGCAGCGGUUCUGACGUGCAAAUCGAUCGUCAAAUUUGGGUAUAGGGGCGAAAGACUAAUCGAAC
rnacentral:rRNA from 1 species